rnacentral:lncRNA from 1 species
AUUUUCUAACACCUCCAAUUCAAAGAUGCUCUCUGAAGGAAAUUAUUUUUCUUUGUCAUCCAUGGAGUAUACAUAGCACUAAUCCUUGGGGGAAUUAACAACUUUGGCAAGCAUACUAUUCGUUACUAGAAAGGCUGGAGUCUCUACUGGGGUCUUUGAAUUCUCUUAGAAUUUCAAUUCUCAAUUCAUAUGGGUUUGGACUUAAGAAAAAAAUAUAUUCAAAUUGAAAAAAUAUUAAAUUUGGUGGCAAGUUGGAGAUAAUAUGGAAUCUCCUCUUUCAUGGAAAGGAAAGGGGUAACAGAAACUGCUAUCUGUCCUUCACUAUCCAUUCUAUCCUUAUCCCAUACAACUGAAAGUAUAGCCUGUCACAUGACUAGCCAGCUACACCAUAUUUCCCAGCAUCCUUUGCAGUUAGAUAUGGCCACGUGACUUGGUCUUUUCAGUAAAAUGCAAGCAGAUGUGAUGUCUGCCACUUGUAGUUCAACACCCUAAGACCAGACUGUGUCCCCUCCAUUUGCUCUUCCUCAUUCCUGCUGGUUACAACCCAGUUUUAAUAAAAAAGAUGAGUAUAAUACACUGGAGGGGAAGAAAGACAAGAUGAAAAGAACCUGGGCUCUUGAAUUGUGGAGUAGAGUUUUUAACAGUGUUCCCUGCUGGUUAGAAACACGUGGCAGAGGCAGGUGAGACUCCUGACUGAUAAUCAAUCGUAGUAAAACUUAAUUCCUUUCAUUGCCUCAUGCAUUGGCUCAUACUAUCC